rnacentral:lncRNA from 1 species
AAGAAACUAACUCUUUGGAGUCUGAACUAUUUCUCAUAGUAUCUAUAUGGUGUUAGAAUCAGAUAGCACUAGAAUCGGAUUUAGUAAUUGAAUACAUUUGAGCUCUUAUAUAUUGAUACAACAAUUGCAAUUGCAGAAUUGAAUCAAUUGAUCACACAAACUUGCUGUGAUGAUCGAUACAGUUCUUUCGGAAAAUAUUAGCAGGUGUUUCUUGCACAAGCACCACG